rnacentral:lncRNA from 1 species
GGCCAUGGUCUCCAAGGUUGACCACAAAGGCUCCUUCCACAGGUUGGACAGUGAUCCAAGUCUUGCCAUUGUCCCGGGUGGCCUGAAGCCCACCAACUUGGUCUUGAAGCAAGAGUGUGAUGGUGCCUGGGUCAGUGUGGCGCUUGAGUCCUAAAGUGAGGUCAGGUUGAGGGCAUUUAGGAUAGAAGUUAACCACCACUUUCUGAUCCAUGUCCACACAUGCCUUUGUCAAGGCCUCCUUCUCUAAACCCAUGGCCUCUGACAACACCUCAAGAAGCUUGCAAGCUAGGCCCAUCAACUUCUCGCUGUACUCCUUUGUAACUUCAACCCAACCCUCUGGCUUAUCAGGCCACCUUGAAUAGUCCCUGCUCCUCAAUGGGUAUGAAAAGUAUGUCACAAUCUCUCGCCAAUCUUGCACUGCUUCU